rnacentral:rRNA from 1 species
UACGGAGGAUCCGAGCGUUAUCCGGAUUUAUUGGGUUUAAAGGGUGCGUAGGUGGCUUUUUAAGUCAGGGGUGAAAGACGGUAGCUUAACUAUCGCAGUGCCCUUGAUACUGAAGAGCUUGAAUGAACUAGAGGUAGGCGGAAUGUGACAAGUAGCGGUGAAAUGCAUAGAUAUGUCACAGAACACCAAUUGCGAAGGCAGCUUGCCAAGCAACAACUGACGCUGAGGCACGAAAGUGCGGGGAUCAAACAGG